rnacentral:rRNA from 1 species
UACGAAGGGGGCUAGCGUUGUUCGGAUUUACUGGGCGUAAAGCGCACGUAGGCGGAUCGUUAAGUCGGGGGUGAAAUCCUGGAGCUCAACUCCAGAACUGCCUUCGAUACUGGCGAUCUUGAGUCCGGAAGAGGUGAGUGGAACUCCUAGUGUAGAGGUGGAAUGCGUAGAUAUCCGAAAGAACACCAGUGGCGAAGGCGGCCUGCUGGGCAUUAGCUGACACUGAGGCGCGACAGCGUGGGGAGCAAACAGGAUUAGAUACCCUUGUAGU